rnacentral:rRNA from 1 species
UAGGGAAUAUUGGACAAUGGGGGCAACCCUGAUCCAGCAAUGCCGCGUGAGUGAUGAAGGCCUUAGGGUUGUAAAGCUCUUUUACCCGGGCUGAUAAUGACAGUACCGGGAGAAUAAGCCCCGGCUAACUCCGUGCCAGCAGCCGCGGUAAUACGGAGGGGGCUAGCGUUGUUCGGAAUUACUGGGCGUAAAGCGCGCGUAGGCGGCUUUGUAAGUUAGAGGUGAAAGCCCGGAGCUCAACUUCGGAAUAGCCUUUAAGACUGCAUCGCUAGAAUCAUGGAGAGGUCAGUGGAAUUCCGAGUGUAGAGGUGAAAUUCGUAGAUAUUCGGAAGAACACCAGUGGCGAAGGCGACUGACUGGACAUGUAUUGACGCUGAGGUGCGAAAGCGUGGGGAGCAAA